rnacentral:rRNA from 1 species
CCUACGGGUGGCAGCAGUGAGGAAUAUUGCACAAUGGGGGAAACCCUGAUGCAGCGACGCCGCGUGAGCGAUGAAGUAUUUCGGUAUGUAAAGCUCUAUCAGCAGGGAAGAAAAUGACGGUACCUGACUAAGAAGCCCCGGCUAACUACAUUCCAGCAGCCGCGGUAAUACGUAGGGGGCAAGCGUUAUCCGGAUUUACUGGGUGUAAAGGGAGCGUAGACGGCUGUGCAAGCCAGUUGUGAAAGGCCGGGGCUCAACCCCGGGACUGCAUUUGAAACUGGGUGGCUGGAGUGUCGGAGAGGCAGGCGGAAUUCCUAGUGUAGCGGUGAAAUGCGUAGAUAUUAGGAAGAACACCAGUGGCGAAGGCAGCCUGCUGGACGAUGACUGACGUUGAGGCUCGAAAGCGUGGGUAGCAAACAGGAUUAGAUACCCCAGUAGUC